rnacentral:rRNA from 1 species
ACUCCAGACUCCUACGGGAGGCAGCAGUGGGGAAUAUUGCACAAUGGGCGCAAGCCUGAUGCAGCCAUGCCGCGUGUAUGAAGAAGGCCUUCGGGUUGUAAAGUACUUUCAGCGGGGAGGAAGGCGAUAAGGUUAAUAACCUUGUCGAUUGACGUUACCCGCAGAAGAAGAACCGGCUAACUCCGUGCAAGCAGCCGCGGAAAUACGGAGGGGGAAAGGGUUAAUCGGAAUUACUGGGCGUAAAGCGCACGCAGGCGGUCUGUCAAGUCGGAUGUGAAAUCCCCGGACUCAACCUGGGAACUGCAUUCGAAACUGGCAGGCUGGAGUCUUGUAGAGGGGGGUAGAAUUCCAGGUGUAGCGGUGAAAUGCGUAGAGAUCUGGAGGAAUACCGGUGGCGAAGGCGGCCCCCUGGACAAAGACUGACGCUCAGGUGCGAAAGCGUGGGGAGCAAACAGGAUUAGAUACCCGGGUAUU